ACAAGUAGUCAGAGCCCGUUAAUGGGUGAUGGCGUGCCUUUUGUAGAAUGAACCGGCGAGUUACGAUUUGAUGCAAGGUUAAGCAGUAAAUGUGGAGCCGUAGCGAAAGCGAGUCUGAAUAGGGCGUUUAGUAUUUGGUCGUAGACCCGAAACCAGGUGAUCUACCCUUGGUCAGGUUGAAGUUCAGGUAACACUGAAUGGAGGACCGAACCGACUUACGUUGAAAAGUGAGCGGAUGAACUGAGGGUAGCGGAGAAAUUCCAAUCGAACCUGGAGAUAGCUGGUUCUCUCCGAAAUAGCUUUAGGGCUAGCCUCAAGUGAUGAUUAUUGGAGGUAGAGCACUGUUUGGACGAGGGGCCCCUCUCGGGUUACCGAAUUCAGACAAACUCCGAAUGCCAAUUAAUUUAACUUGGGAGUCAGAACAUGGGUGAUAAGGUCCGUGUUCGAAAGGGAAACAGCCCAGACCACCAGCUAAGGUCCCAAAAUAUAUGUUAAGUGGAAAAGGAUGUGGCGUUGCCCAGACAACUAGGAUGUUGGCUUAGAAGCAGCCAUCAUUUAAAGAGUGCGUAAUAGCUCACUAGUCGAGUGACACUGCGCCGAAAAUGUACCGGGGCUAAACAUAUUACCGAAGCUGUGGAUUGUCCUUUGGACAAUGGUAGGAGAGCGUUCUAAGGGCGUUGAAGCAUGAUCGUAAGGACAUGUGGAGCGCUUAGAAGUGAGAAUGCCGGUGUGAGUAGCGAAAGACGGGUGAGAAUCCCGUCCACCGAUUGACUAAGGUUUCCAGAGGAAGGCUCGUCCGCUCUGGGUUAGUCGGGUCCUAAGCUGAGGCCGACAGGCGUAGGCGAUGGAUAACAGGUUGA
rnacentral:rRNA from 1 species